AUUGAACGCUGGCGGCAGGCCUAACACAUGCAAGUCGAGCGAGCGGCGGACGGGUGAGUAAUGUAUGGGGACUGCCCGAUAGAGGGGGCUAACUCCUGGAAACGGUGGCUAAUACCGCAUACUAUCGGAUAACCCAUAGGGGAUUAGCUAGUAGGUGGGGUAAAGGCUCACCUAGGCGACGAUCCCUAGCUGGUCUGAGAGGAUGAUCAGCCACACUGGUACUGAGACACGGCCCAGACUCCUACGGAGGCAGCAGUGGGGAAUAUUGCAACAGGGGCGCAAGGCUGAUGCAGCCAUGCCGCGUGUAUGAAGAAGGCCGUAGGGUUGUAAAGUACUUUCAGUAGGGAGGCGUUACCGACAGAGAAAGCACCGGCUAACUCCGUGCCAGCAGCCGCGGUAAUAC
rnacentral:rRNA from 1 species